rnacentral:rRNA from 1 species
UCUCAGUUCAGAUUGCAGGCUGCAACUCGCCUGCAUGAAGUCGGAAUUGCUAGUAAUCGCAGAUCAGCAUGCUGCGGUGAAUACGUUCCCGGGCCUUGUACACACCGCCCGUCACACCAUGGGAGUCGGUAACACCCGAAGUCGGUAGCCUAACCGUAAGGAGGGCGCCGCCGAAGGUGGGGAUUGAUGACUGGGGUGAAGUCGUAACAAGGUACC